UGUGGUAUCUCAUUGUGUUUACUUGUGAACUAAGUAUUUUAAGAAUUUAAGCAUAACACAACUUCUAAAGUUGAGGGCAGCAUAUGUACCCCCUCCCUUCAAUCUUAUAUGUAAGAUUUCUCAGAAGUUUAAAAAAAAAUGGUAAUACGCAUAACCCGUUGUCGUGUCUAAGACUGAUGCUGUCAGUGAAAAAGAAUAAAGUUGAAUCCAAAACUUAAUUACUAGUAAGUCUAUGUAUAAAGAUAAGAGGAUGUGUUGUAAUUGUCAAUGAGACAAUUAACUCUCAACCAGAGAGAGCAAAGACAUAGAAAUAAACAACCAC
rnacentral:lncRNA from 1 species